AUUGAACGCUGGCGGCAGGCCUAACACAUGCAAGUCGAGCGGAGCGGCGGACGGGUGAGUAAUGCCUAGGAAUCUGCCUGGUAGUGGGGGAUAACGUCCGGAAACGGGCGCUAAUAUCGCAUACUAUCAGAUGAGCCUAGGUCGGAUUAGCUAGUUGGUGGGGUAAAGGCCUACCAAGGCGACGAUCCGUAACUGGUCCGAGAGGAGGAUCAGUCACACUGGAACUGAGACACGGUCCAGACUCCUACGGGGGGAAGCAGUGGAGAAUAUUGGACAAGGGGCGAGAGCCUGAUCCAGCCAGACCGCGUGUGUGAAGAAGGUCUUCGGAUUGUAGAACACUUUAGGUUUGGAGGCGGUACCAUCAAAAAAAGCACCGGCUAACUUCGUGCCAGCCGCCGCGGUAAUUC
rnacentral:rRNA from 1 species